GGGGGAAGGGAAAAGCAAAAGCGGGGAAAGAAGCCGGGGAGCGGUGGACCAGACACUCAGACCUCCUGAAAGGCUCCUGCGGAGGCAGAGGCGGGAUCUUCCGGAGGUGAGAAUUGUUUUUUUAUUGUAGCAGAAUGGGGAGGAAUUGAGGGGAAAAUGGAGAUAGAACCUGAAAGAGCCCCAAACGCGAGAACGUGUAGCUCCCCAAGAGUAAGAUCUUACAGAAGAGCUAGACCGAAAACUAGGCGUCUGGGAAGGCUGAAAUCCUUGGAGGAGUGGCAUCAUCAUGACCCUCUGUGUUCUCACUUAUAAGUGGGAGCUGAAUGAUGAGAAUACAUGGACAGAUAGAGUGGGGGUGGGGACAACACACACUCGAGCCUGCCAAAGGGUAGGGCUGGGAGGAGGAAGAGCAUCAGAAAGAGGAGCUAAUGGAUGCUGGGAUUAGUACCUGGGUGGUGGGAUGAUCUGUGCAGCAAACCACCAUGGCACAGGUUUAUCUAUGGAACAAACCUGCACAUCCUGCACGUGUACCCCUGAAAUUAAAGUAAAAAUUGGAAAUAAAACAUUUAAAAAGAAAAGAAAACAACAACAACAAAAAAGAGUGGUGCAAAUCUGUACCAGGCUUAUUGUAAGCAAAAGAAUGAGAAUGAAAACAUGGAUAUCAGACAAAGGGAAAUGGCAAAAGAACGCUUUACAUUAGCUAGAGGAGUAAUAUCCUAGCAUCUAACUAGAAUAGAAUGGAAUCGAAUGGAAUUGUUUUUCCCUGAACUGGCCUCCUUGGGUGGCCGACGAGGGCGAGGUGAAGGGAAGAUAUCUUGGAGUGAAAUGUCCGUUUCUUCGCUCUUGUUUUGGUCUCUGUAAGGCAUAAGAAGUUAAAAGCAAGAUCUGAUCCCUGGCAUUUUCCAGGAAUUUGAAAUAGGUAUAUGAGGAGAGAAGCUCAAUUAUUACCCAGGUCUCCGGGACUAUCCCAGGCACAAUCCCAAGAGUCCAGCUUUCCAAACCAGGGUCCCUGGGUUCUGAAGGCCUUUUUGGGGAAAGUACUGAUGUUCGUGUCAAGGUUGGGAGGAAAGGGUUUGGAAGGCCCCAGGCGAUGGGAAGGCAAAGAGAAGGUAUCAAGAAGCGAGGCAAGAACUUUCCACAGGUUCACAUUGGAUACAGCACCGGAGACAAGAAACUGAGUGAAUUUCUGGUGUUUUCUUACAGAGGUUUGUUAUCCAGUUGUACAGAGUCUAUUUCAGAAUAAGUCUUUUUCAAAUCAGCUCUUUUAAUGUGAAGCCAUAACUUUCUGGUGUUGCCUGAUGCAAAUCUCUAAUGUGAGCCUUUGCCCUGGGUGUCCUUUUUGUUAAUUACAUGUUCCAAAGAGAACACGGUAAAAAUCUUGACUCCUCUUCCCAUGUCCCGAUCUUACCUUUUUCCAUGUAAAGGCCGCAGUUUUUGCUAGUAGGAGGCGUCAGUGGUUUAGUGGUGGAAUUUCUGCCUCCCAUACACGAGAUCCGCGUUCAACUCCUGGUUGGUGCAGCGUGCAGUUUCCGCACAAUGCGGUUUUUACAUUUAUUUACCAUAACUGUGUAUACUCAGGUAGGUCACAGCCGCAAUAAUAAACAGAAGGAAAAGGGAACUACUGUAUAGCUUUCCAGUUCCUUCUGGAGUGGAAUUUCUCUAAGCAAGGACUUCGCAGAGACUGUCUUUGAAGCAGCUAGUGUGUCUGGUUGGUCUCCGCGUUUGCAUAUUUGGCCCUAAAACCGACGGGACGUUUAUUGUCUCUUCUGGCGGAUCCCUGAAAUACACAGUCACCUGGACACUGAUUUCACUGACUGGACCUUGGACAGACCACGUAUCGCGGUGGAGUGAGGCUCAAGAAAGGAGAGAAGCUGUGGGGUCGGACAGACGCACGCAGUGGGGAAGGGGGAGUGGGUACGGGGGCCCAGGGACAGGGAAGGCGUGUGGGAAGGAACCCGCACGCAGAUGAGGGGAGCUGCAGAGAAGGGCCUCGGAUCUUCCUGUCGAGGAAGGCCCAGUCUUUGGUGGCAUCGGCAAAAUGAAGGAUGGGCCCCAAGUGGAGAGCAGCACGUCCCCAAAACUCAUUUCGAUCACCCCUGUUUUAUACUCCACCAGGCAAAUCUUCUGUCUAGGGGAUUCUUUGUAAUACGUCUCUUUAAGCAUCGUGCUGGAGAGGCCAUGACAAUCAUUACCUCUGGAGAUUUGCGGAGGAAAGCUGGAAAAGGAAAGCCCCGUGAUCAUCUGGUUUGUCCUCCCCUGUUUUCAUCUACUCUUUUCCUCAGGGAAGCUUAUAUGUGUCCAGGAGUGGCAUCGCAGCUUCCUCACUGGCGGAUUAAGAUACGCUGAUGGCGGGGCACGGUGGAUCACCCCUGUAAUCCCAGCACUCUGGUAAGCCGAGGCGGGCGGAUCGCAAGGUCAGGAGAUCCAGACCAUCCUGGCCAACAUGGUGAAACCCCAUCCCUACCAAAAAUACAAAAAAUUAGCUGGGCGUGGUGGUGCGCGCCUGUAGUCCCAGCUACUCGGGAGGCUGGGGAAGGAGAAUCGCUGGAACCCGGGAGGCGGAGGUUGCAGUGAGCCGAGAUCGCACCACUGCACUCCAGCCUGGCCACAGAGCGAGACUCCGUCUCAAAAAAUAAACAGCCGCUGACAAAUCUCUUUCGUGAAGGGGUAAGAGCCGCAGUUGGCCCAUAGCAAGGGAGUCAGAAGCAAGAGCAGAACCGAAAAUACUUUUCUCUAUGUCGUUCUCUCUCUCCUACCCGUGAACAUCAACCUUCCACACAUACCGGUUCAAAACCGCCUUGGUCUCUAAGGGAGAUUUACCAUUUUUCACAGGUCCCGUAAGCCAUGUUUCCUUCUUGCUUCUACAGUUUUUCCAGGGCUGAGUUUCAGGAGCUGGUCAGCAGUGCAGGCUAGUUCAAUAUCCUGGUUCAAAACCAUUUGUCUGGUUUUGCUAGUAAAGUGCCUCCUAGACCAGAGAUAAGACGUGUUCCUUCGGCUUCCAUUUUCUGGAGAUAAUUGGUAUCAUUUCUUCAUUAAAUGUUUGGUAGUAAAACCAUCUAGACCUGGUGCUUUGUUCUGGAAGUUUGUUAAUCAUUGAUUCAAUUUCAUUAAUAAAUAGAGAUCUAUUUAGGUUAUAUAUUUCUCCUUGUGUGAGUUUUGGUAGACGGUGUCUUUCAAGAGCUUGGUCCAAUUCAUCAAGUUAUCAAAUAUGUGAGUGGAGAAUUGUUGAUAAUCUUCAUCUGAUAUCCUUUUAAUAUCCAUGAGAUCAGUAGUGAGGACCUUCUUUUCUUUUUGUUAUUUGUAAUUUGUAUCUUCUCUCAUUGUUUCUUUGUUCACCAGCUGGAUGUUUAUCAAUUUUAUUGAUUAUUUUAAAGAACUACGUUUUGUUUUUGUUGAUUUUUCUCUAUUGAUUUCUGGUUUUCAAUUUCCUUGAUUUCUCCUCUAAUUUUAAUUGUUUCUUGCUUUCCACUUACUUUGGAUUUAAUUUUUUCUUGUUUUUUGAGUUUCCUAAAGUGUAAGUUCAGAUUAUUGAUUGUAGAUCUUUUUUCUUUGCUACCAUAUGCAUUGAAUACUAUGAAUUUCUUUCUAAGCACCAAUUUUCCUACACCCAGAAAUUUUUUAUAAGUUGUAUGUUUAUUUUCAUUUAGCUCAAAAUAUGUAAUUUGCCCUGAGACCUUUUCUUGACCCAUGUGUUACUGGGAGUGUAUUGUCUGAUCUCCAGUUUUGGGAUUUUCCAGCUAUCUGUUGUUGAUUUCUACGUCAGUUCCAUAAUUUGAAUGGAGGGCAUAUUUGGUAUGAUUUCUAUCCCAUUAAAUGUGUUGAAGUGUGUUUUAUGGGCCAGAAUGUGGUGGAGCUUGGUGAACACUCCAUGUGACCCUAAAAAGAAUAUGUAUUCUGCUCUUGCUGGAUGAAGUAAUCUAAAAAGUCGGUUGGAUCCAGGUGACUGAUGGUGGUGUCCAGUUUCACUACAUCUUUAUUGAUUUCCUGGCUUCUGAUCUGUCAGUUACUGAUGCUGAAGUCUCCCACUGUAAUAGUGAAUCUGUCUAUUUGUCUUUGAAGUUCUAUCAGCUUUUGCCCCUGAUAUUUAGAUGCUCUGUUGUUAGGUGCAUAUCAUUUAAGGAUUGUCAUAUCUUCUUGGAGAAGUGACCUCUUUAUAUUAUGUAAAGACUCUCUUUAUCCCCAUGAUUUUCCUCCCUCUGAAGUCAGCUCUGUCUCAAAUUAAUGUGGCUACUGUAGUUUUUUUGUUUUUUUGUUGGUUUGUUUGCUUUUGUUUUUGUUUUGUUUUUUGUUUUGACUGAGUUUCGCUCCUGUUGCCCAGGCUGGAGUACAAUGGCACAAUCUCAGCUCACUGCAACAUCCGUCUCCCAGGUUCAAGCGAUUCUCCUGCCUCAGCCUCCCAAGAAGAUGGCAUUAAAGGCAUGCGCCACCAUGACUGGCUAAUUUUGUAUUUUUAGAAGAGAUGGAGUUUCACCAUGUUGGUCAGGCUGGUCUUGAACUUCUGACCUCAAGUGAUCCACCAGCCUCGGCUUCCCAAAGUGCUGGGAUUACAAGUGUGAGCCACAGUGCCCAGCUGCUACUCCAAUUUUCUUUUGAUUACGAUGGGUAUGAUAUAUCUUUCUCCAUCUCUUCACUUCUAAUAUCUCUGUGUCUUCUUAUUUAAAGUAGGUUCAUUGUAGAUGACAUAUAGUUGGACCUCAUUUUCCAUUCUGCCAGUCUCUGUCUUUUAGUUGGUGUACUUGGACCAUUCACAUUUAAAGUGACUAUUGAUAUCAUUGGAUUAAUAUGUACCAUAUGUGUAACUGUUUCUAUUUUUUGACUUUCUUCGUUGUUUCCUUUUGUGUCUUUUACUCUUUUUCUACCUUCUCUGGCUAUAAUUGAACAUGUUAUAUGAUCCCAUUUUUUUCUUCUCUCUUACAAUACAAAUUCCAUUUCUUAAAAGAAAAAUUGUGUUUUUGUUUUCACCCUAUUGCUUGCCAUAUAUACUUACAAAUAAUCUAAGUCAACUUAAAGUAAUGUUAUGAUGCUUCAUGGGUCAUGCAGGUACCUUAAAAACGAAAUUCCUAAUUCCUUUCUUACCUCCUUUUAAAACAUUGCUCUCAUUCAUUUGACAUAUUAAUAACAUAUAAUCAUUCAAUCAAUUAUUGCUGUUUUUCUUAUUUUGACAGAUGGUUAUAUGAAUUAAGAAUAAACAUAAUAAAAUAUUUUAUUUUUAACUUCAUUUAUUCCUUCUCUAACUUGCUUCCUUCAUGUAGAUAUGUCUUUAACCUUUGUGGUUUUUUCUUCUUUCUGAAGAACUUCUUUUAACCUUUCACGGAAGACAAAAUUACUGGUGACAAAUUCCCUCAAUUUUUGUUUGUCAAGAAAGUCUUUUAUUUCUCCUUCACGUUUGAAGGGUAAUUCUAAAGAAUUCUAGGUUAACAGGGUUCUUUUUCCUCCAAUACUAAAUAUGUCCGCUGCAUGCUGUUCUUGCUUGCAUGGUUUAUGAAGAGAAGUCUAAUGUAGUACUCAUCCUUGUUCUUCUAAGGUAAGGUGUUUUCUUUCCCCAGCUUCUCUCAAUAUGUUCUUUUGUCUUUGAUUUUCUACACUUUCAAUAUUAUAUGUUGGAUGCUUAAUUGCAUGUGUAAAUUUGGCUGGGCCAUGGUGCCCAGAUAUUUGGUCAAAUAUUAUUCUGAUGUUUCUGUGAAGGUGUUUUUUGAUGAAAUGAGACAUCGAAAUCAGCCGACUUUGAGUAAAGCAGAUGACACUCCAUAGUGUGAGUUGGCCUAAUCUAGUCAGGUGAAGGCCUUAAUAGUAUAAAACCUGACCUCCCCCUAACAAGGAGGAAUUCUGCCAGCAGAUUCCCUUUAGACUUGAACUGCAACUCUCUCCCCUGAGUCUCCAGCCUACUCGCCUACCUCAUCAGAUUUGGUCUCACCAAGCUUCCGCAAUUAUACGAGCCAAUUCCUUAAAAUCAGUCUCAAUCUCUCUCUCUCUGUCUCUCUUCUCUCUCUCUCUCUCCUCUCCAUCUUCAUCUCUAUCUUCUAUUAUGAGAAGUGGCAGGUAAAGUAGAUAGGAAAAAGAAAACAAAUAAUUGUCAUAUGGAAAUAUUUGGUGUUGAAAACUAUAAUUUAGGCCGGGGGCGAUGGCUCACGCCUGUAAUCCAGCACUUUGGGAGGCCGUGGCAGGCAGAUCACGAGGUCAGGAGAUCGAGACCAUGGUGAAACCCCGUCUCUACUAAAAAUACAAAAAAUUAGCCAGGGGUGGUGGCUGGCACCUGUAGUCACAGCUACUCUGGAGGCUGAGGCAGAAUGGCGUGAACCUGGGAGGCGGAGCUUGCAGUGAGCCGAGAUCACACCACUGCACUCCAGCCUGGGCCACAGAGCGAGACUCCAUCUCAAAAAAAAAAAAAAAAAAAAGAAAAGAAAAUUAUAAUUUAAAACGUAUAAACCAAAUAUUAGAAGUGUGUCUAGUUCAAAGGGGAAAAAAACUAUCAAAAACAUUUUAGUGCAAUAUUAAACUUGACCUAUACAACCCUUCCUAAAUGCCAAAGGCAUACACAGACAAACACACACACUAUCAGAGAAUACAAAUAACUAGAACAAAGAAAUGUAGUAAAUACAAUCUACUACCUAUGGUAAACAUAGCCUACAAUGUGGAAGUGUUUAGAAAAUAAACACGGAAAUAAAAAUGUUUUUAUUAAUUCAUAUCAUUACCUGCCCAAACCAAUCAACAUAAUAAAAGAUUAUAACACUGAAUGUAAAAAAACAAUUCACCAGUCCAAAGUGAUAGACAAAAAAUUUUAGUUGUAUGGAUUAAAGUUAACUGUGGACAAAAAUUAAAACCCAGGCAGGGAAUUUUUUUUUCAACAACAGAAACUAGCAAAAACAAGGAUAUAGUAAAAACUGAAAUAGAAAAUUUCCAGUGUAGAGAUAUGAAUAUAAUAAUUGACAUAGGCAGGGAUGAUUAGUGAAUGAUAAAAUAUUUAGAGGAUGAUCAUUAGAAUGCAGGGCAUUUAUACUUUUAAAAACCACUUUCCCAAUUACUUCAUUAAAAAUAAGAUGUCUCUAAAAGGGACAGGUCUUCUAGAUUCCUCCUUAACCAAGUGACAGUCCCAGUAUCACGGUAAUGGUGAUGGACAAACUGGACCUUCUCUGCCUGCAGAUGGGCUGAGGUAGGAAACUCUCAGUAGUGACUCUGCAGUGUUCCUGGAAAAACGUUUAGUCUGAAUUUAAUCAUGAGGACAUUUUUGGACAACUUCAGAAUGUAGAACAUUGAGCCAGACAGCUGAACUGUCCUCUACAAACAAGUCCAUGUCACCACCAUCAAUGACAACAACAAAAAGAUGAGGAGAUACUUUCGGUUCAAAAUAACUAAAGAAAUGUAGCUACAUUAUGUUUUUACUUUUUUUGAACCCAAAAUGUCUCUUCUCCUUUUUGUUGUGUGAUUCGUGGUGACAUGGACUGUGUGAAGGAGACAGGUCAGUUGUCCUGCUCAGUGUUCUACAUUCUGCAGUUGUCUUGUGAUUACCUCCUAUGAAAUUCAAGCUAAGCAUUUUUAGUGAGAACAUGGCAUUGUUCAUAUUCUGCACCAGCAAAUUCCCUGUUGUCUACAGGAUGGAAGUGAGAGGAGCAGGGCUAAAGCCUCUCAAUGCUGUUUGUCCAUCUGGCUUUGGUCUUCCUAAGUAUUGAUAUCAAGUGGAGGCUGAAGGACUGUGGCUUCUCUAACCAAAGGAGCCUAGUGGGUUAACAAUUGUCAAGAGCAGUCAGUGGUUCUGAAAUACAAUCCUCAGCCAUGGAUCCCUCCUGUGUUGUGUUGAGCUUUCAAUUGCUUUGCUCUUUUAGUUUUUUUCAUCAAACGAAAAUGCUUCUUGUGACAUCCGUUCUUUCUUUUCAUUGUUCCAGCAGCAUUUAGUAUCUGUAGGAGACAGAGAAGGAAAGAUCAAAUGGGCAUCUUUGUCAGGUCCUGCUGAUGGCUGAAUUUAGAGGGACUGCUAAGUGGUGAUAGCCCAGGGGCAAACUGAGCUCCUGCUAGGAGGAUGAGCUAAAGGGUGAGCCUCAGCCUGGGUGAAGAGGCAAGUGCCAUCCACAAGUGAAAAGUAAAUGCCCCUGAACUUCCAGUCAGCUGAGGUGAAGGAUAUAGGGACCCUAGCUCUGCCCAACCAGCAGCCGGUGACAUCAGCCCCUUUCCUCCUGAUUCCUUCUGUCUGGAGCAGAGUGAUGGCUUUUCACACCUCUCAGUGAGGAUGUUCUCAGCAUCAACCAUGAAAGCUCAGAAACAGAGGGCUGCAGAAGGAAAGGACCUUUCACAGAGAAACCCACUCCCUUACAGCUCCAUGUCCCCAUCUCUCAGGGAAGGGUGUGCAGGGCCAUGGGAAGAACCCUGGAGGUGAGAUACAGGAAGGACCUCAGACCACAUCCACAUCCAGUUCUGCCUUUUACAACAGAGGAGCAGUGAUGCCACAGGGCUGACUUAACUAAAGCCACAUGACUUGCUAUUGACAACCCUGAAACUAGAACCCACGCACGAAGUCUCUUUCAAUAAGUUAGAGAGAAGGGAGAGUCAAUUCUCCAAUCUGGAGUUCUCGACAGUCACUAGAGGUUGCUGGGUCACCUUGGCUAGGAUAGGAAUGAGCUUUUACAAAGAAAUAUGAUGUCACUGCUGCUUGUUUUGUUGGUAAAAUUAAAAAUGAGAAAAAGACAAAAGAAAUAUUAUGUGUUCUUCCAAAAAGGAUCAGAAAAAAAGGAAAAGGAAAGAGUCAAAUGGAAUUACAAAGGAAGGGUGGUGAUUGUAACCAUGGCCCAACUUAUUAUCCCUAAUUCCCUGAAGUUGAUUCCAUACCUGGUUACACCUUAAGGCAUUUCUAGAAAUAUUCUCAAUAUCUGAUCGACAAAACUCUGAAGUAGAAAGUGAAAAGGAUUAGUUUGUGUUUUAUUACAUUCUCCUCUCCCUGUUAUAUUUUUCCCAAAGUGGUUUGUUGGGAAAGAUUUCUUUUUAGUAUUUUAUGCCAGCGUCAAGGGUAGCAUAAAAAAGUAUUCAUACAUCAUCUCUUCCUGAGUUUCAGUUUUAUUAUUAUUAUUAUUAUUAUUUCUUUUUUUUUAGAUAGAGUCUUGCUCUGUCACCCAGGCUGGAGUGUAGUGGUGCGAUCUCAGCUCACUGUAACCUCUGUCUUCCGGGCUCAAGCGAUUCUCCUGCCUCAGCUUCCCAAGUAGCUGGGAUUACAGGCACGUGCCAUCACGCCUGGCUAAUUUUUGUAUUUUUAGUGGAGACAGGGUUUCGCCAUGUUGGUCAGACUGGUCUCGAACCCCUGACCUCAGAUGAUCCACCCUCCUUGGCCUCCCAAAGUGUUGGAAUUAAGAGGCAUGAGCCACCAUGCCCGGCCGAGUUUCAGUUUUUACUUAUUAUUAUAUUCUCUCUAGUUGAGUGAGAACUAUGAGUUCUCUUUGAGGAUUUGGCUGAAUGAAAAGAAUUGAGCAAAGCAGAAUUUUUACACUGCAGUGCUGAACCCAUUCAUGGGCUCUGGAAUCAGUGUGUGGAAAUGUAAACUGCAAAAUUUAUUUUAAAAUUGAAAAGAAAGCUGGGCAUGAUGGCUCAUGCCUAAAUCCCAGAUCUUUGGGACGCCAAGGUAGAUGGAUCACUUGAGGCCAGGAGUUCGAGAUCAGCCUUCCCAACAUGGUGAAACCAUGCCUCUACUAAAAAAAUACAAAGAUUCGCCAAGUGUGGUGGCAUGCACCUGUAAUCCCAGCUACUCAGGAGGCUGAGGCAUGAGAAUUGUUGAAGCUGCGAGACGGAGGUUGCAGUGAGCCAAGACUGCACCACUGCACUCCAGCCUGGGUGACAGAGAGAGACUCUGUCUUAAAAAUAAAAUAAAAUAAAACAUAAAAUACAAUAAAAUAAAAUUGAACAGAAAAUACUAAAUUUGAAUAUGUGUAGUAUAUAAGGUAUUGUUUUCUGUAUACUGGGUUUCAGUAUAAUGACUAUUUCUUAUUUUACUUGUAUUUAAAAUUAAGCAAGUGUGCUUUAAGUAGAGAGACUAUAGGUCUAAUCCACCUAUUUUCUUGUUUUUCUUUUUGAUUUUUUUCUACGUUCUACAAAUACUACUGUUGAGAGGUGAAUACAGAUCCCAUCAAUGUCUGAUGGAUGCUCAGCCUUUUGUGUGGAGUAGCCACACAAGUGGUCAUCUCCAUGUUGAAAACCUGAGGUCAGAGUAGACCAAUGGUCCUUGUCAUCUUCGGUUGUAUAUUAGAAUAUCAUGGAAGUUUUUUAAAGGUUCUGAUGCUCACAUCACACCCCAGACCAUUUAAGUGAGAAUCUCAAGAUGUCAGUUCAAGGCAUUCAUGUUUAUUGAAAUCUCACCAGGUGCUUAUUACAUGGUAGCAGGAUUUAGAGGCAAUGAAUGAACCAACCUGAUUUCCCAUCAUUUUCUUUCCUAUCCUCAUUUCUCUCAUGAUUGCCUUCAUUCUCUGUGGCUCUAUGGAUUUUAGUCUUUCUUCUGACAAUUUCAGUUAAAUCUCUCACUUGGGCUUGUCUGAGGCAAAGUCUGUCCUGUAGAUAGGUUCUUGUCUAUCAUCUUAUGUAGACAUAAAGCUGGCCCCUGGACUCACUUUUCUCAAAGUUAAUUCAUUAAAUGCUCUCAUAUUUCUCUGUCCUCAAGAUUCACCUGAGUUGUGUUUUAGAUUCUAACUGAGCUUGUAGAAGUAGAUAUGUGAACAAAAAGGAGAGAGGUGAGAAUGUACCUCGUGGUCUAUGCAGGUUCAAAGUCCUGCCCUGCCCUCUGCAUCUACCUUCGGCUGAGGUCCCUUUGGAAUGUCAUAAAUGUUCUGCAGUUAAUGUCAGCUAAGUGACUCCAUGAGGAGCAGACACAGUCCCUGGAAACUUCAUCCACGUUGGCAUAAGGUUGCCCAUCUAGAGCUGAAGACACACCUGACUCCAGGCUAGUAGGGAACUCUCACCUGUGACCCAGGUUCUAAUUUAGUUUUUGAUUUGGGGUUCUUAGUGCUCAUUUUUAACACUUCUCAUUCCCAUGUACAAGGUGAGGGUUACAGUUUGACUUAGUUGGGUUGCUCAAAAGCUGUCCCAAGAGAAAAAUCUGUGUAUAAAUGACGUAUUAAAGCAAUGCUCCCAGCAGAAAGGGGCAAUGGAGUUUGGGAUGCAGGAAGGAAAGGCAAAUUACUCAAGCUGUGUGAUUCCAGGCAAAGAACCCUGUGUUUAGCAGCUCACACCAUGCACUUGGAGGGGGACAAGGAGGCUGGGCUCUCCUGCGGCUGUGAGAGGGACUCUCAGGAUGGCAGCAGUGGGAACAGAGAAGAGUUCAGAGAGCAAACAGGCGAUGAGGACCAGAAGGGCCUGGCAGGGUGGCAGCCCAUGGGACACAGAGGUUAGACCAGACAGACGUGACAGCAGCUGCUGGAGAGAACAAAUACAGAAGAAAAAAUCAGUGGGAGAAGGAGCUGUCAUCACAGACAGAGAGAAAUAAGGAGUGAGUGCAGCUAAGAGCCAUAGAUGUGAUUACCUUCAUACUCUAAGCUUGCAGGCCAGGGAAUCUGCAUGCCAGUCUCCACUUGCUGAAUGGAAGUUUUCUUUUGAUCAUCUUCGGUUUUAGGACACUUGAGGCAUGAAUGUGGCCAGUGACUUGAUGCCCGUGUGUGUUGUCAGCUGAGCCUUCAAUAGCAUCACCUUCCAGCUGGGGAGGGUUCUUCAUUCCAAGGGAAGGCUCUAAACCCAGCUCUGAAAAUGAAACCACACCCAACAGCGUUCACUGUCAUCCAUGGUCUUACUGUGACUUUCUCUUCCACCCAAGAGGAUCAUCAGAGAAGGAAAGCGGCCUUGAACAAGAAAAUCCAAGGGGUAAAGGGAAGCCAAGAAAGACAUUUGGGUACUUUCUGUAUUGUUGAUUUUUCAUGCAUCACCCAGUAAUGACAAGAUUGCCAGGAGGAAAAGGUGAUCCCAACUGACAAACAUAUUCAAAAAAUUUAGGAUUAAUAAACCCAAAUAGCUUCCAAGUAGAUAAGGCAAAGGCAAGGAAAUCACACUGGAUACAGGCUGUGUUUUGGGAGUGAGGAGAUUCUAAAAAUCAAGCAAAAUCAACGUUAAAUGAACAUACGAGAGAAAAGAAUUGGGAAGACUAAACAUGGGAUAUUGAUGAAAUGAUCAUACAGAUAGGUAUAUUGCAUAUAUCUACAUUUUAUUAAAAAUACAUGCAAAUAUGCAUAAUGUAUAUAACAAUGACAUAAAUGCAUGUAUUUAUAUAUACAAAUCUAUUGGAAGAAAUUAUUACAUAGGGAUGUGGAAGAUGUUGAAUUAACAUUAUAAUCACUAACAUUACAAUCUAGCCCAUUGAAAUUGGAAAAAAUUUUGGAAAAAUAAGACUAUUGAGAGAGAGAAGACAUGGUGAGAAACAAAUGCCCUAGUAGACAGCAGGGAGAAGUCACUAGAGAAUGAAACAAAAGGCAUUCAUUCUUUCCUCCUGCCUGGAGCCUGGUUAGUGCUCUGGACUCCUGGGAAAGCCAGCAGGUAAGAGUGUUGGAGCCAGGUGGGUGAGUCCUGACUGGGGGUGUGGGAAUCCAUGGAGAAGCAAAAGAGACAUCAGUGGGAAGAAAUCAGUUUAAAUACUCGAAGUUAUCAGGGCACGUGUCAGGGACUACGCAUCCCUCGACACUCACUGAGCGUCUUCCUUGUGUCCUCUCCACGGACCCAGAAAGUGCUCGUUACCUCAAGUGACACUCCUUCCUCCUGAGGACAUGGGUCCCUUAUUCCUCAGCUGGGGGCAUCGCCUGACAGAUAAGCACCUGGCAGCCCCAGGGGCUCCAGGAGGAGAUAUUGAGUGGGUCAGAGAGUAAGAAUGAACACGACCCAGCAGAGAUGGGGUUUCACCAUGUUGGCCAGGUUGGUCUUGAACACCUGACCUCAAGUGAUCUGCCUGCCUUGGCCUCCCACUGUGCCCAGCCGCAGCUAAUUUUUUGUAUUUUUAGUAGAGACAGGGUUUCCCUGUGUUGGCCAUGAUGGUCUUGAACUCCUGGCCUCAAGUGAUCUGCUCACCUGGGCCUCCCAGAGUGCUGGGAUUACAAGCGUGAGCCACCGCACCUGGCCAAGAAACAACCAUCUUAUUCUGUGCUUUUGUUUGGUCCGCCAGAUCUAUGUUUCUUUUUCUCACCUUUCUUGCCUUUCUUUUGAACUGAUUAUUUUUUCUUACCAUCUAUUUUUUUCCUUUUCUGUUGAUAUGAAAAUAAUGUACUCUUUUUCUAUUCUUUGAGCAGUGGCUCUCUGGCUCUAGAAAUCACACAAUAUUCACCCUUUCCUUAGCAAAGUCUUUUUUUUUUUUUUUUAAUUUAAAGACAGGGUCUCACUUUGUGGCCCAGACUGGAGUGCAGUGAUGCAAUCACAGCUCACUACAUCCUCAACUUCCCCAGCUUAAACGAUCCUCCCACCUCAGCCUCCCCAGUAGCUGCGACUACAGGCACAUACCACCACACCUGGCUAGUUUUGUUUGUUUAUUUUUUGUAGCAACGAGGUCUCGCUAUAUUGCCCAGGCUGGUCUCACACUUCUAGGCUCAAGCAAUCCUCCCACCCUGGCCUCCCAAAGUGCUGGGUUUACAGGUGUGAGCUACCAUGCCUGGCCUAAAGUCUAAUGUUAAUCAGUACAUUUACUGUCCUUCUGGAAUGAGUAUAAGGACCUUAGAAUAAUUUUUUUUUUUUUUGAGAUGGAGAUUUGCUCUUGUCCCCCAGGCUGGAGUGCAAUGGUGCUAUCUCGGCUCAUGGCAACCUCCACCUACUAGGUUCAAGCGAUUCUCCUGCCUCAGCUUCCUGAGUAGAUGGGAUUACAGGUGUGCACCACCACACCCAGCUAAUUUUUGUAUUUUUAGUAGAGAUGGGGUGAGGUGGGUGGAUUACCUGAAGUCAAGAGGUCAGGACCUUAGAAUAAUUUAACAAAACUUCCCUUUCUCCCUAGUUUCUAGCUGGCAACAUGGAGUUGCUAUAAAUUUUAAUUCUGUAUAUUUUAACACUCUGUAAGACAUGCAUAUUACAGCUUUUAAGGUCAAUAUUUAUGUUUACCCAUAUAUUUACCAUUUUUAAAAUUCUUAAUCCUUUCUGUGUCUCUGACCCUUUAGCCUAAGUCAGUUGGUUGUGAAUUCUCUCAAUUCUUGUUUGUCUGAAAAUGCCUGUAUUUUACUUUCAUGGUUGAGGAAUAUUUUGCUGGCUAUAAAGUUCUAUAAUAGUUUUUAUUUUCUAUAAGAACAUGGAGAAUAUAUUCCCAUUUUUUCCUUUGGUUUUUAUUUUUGUGCUUUAGAAACUUAAAUUAAAAUUUUUUUUCUAGAUGCUAUAAAGAUUUUUUCACUUUUUCUUUUGUUUUUCGCAAUAUCUCAGGGUGAAUCUUGGUGUAGAUUUCUUUUUUCUUUAUCCUGCAUGGAAUUCUUAAGUUCUAUGAGUCAGUCCUCCAAAAUUCUCAGCCAUUUUAGCCAUAAAAAUUUAAAUAUUGCCUUUGCUCCAUCUCUCUCUCGUAAAACUGCAAUUAAAUAUAUGUUAGACUUUUUCAGGAUGUCCUCCCUCUCUCUUAUCCUCUCUGCUAUAUUUUCUAUGUUUUUGUCUCUUUGUGCUAUAAUAUGGAAAGUUUAUUCUGACUUAUUUUUCUGUUCAAUAAUUCUUUUUUCAGCUAUGUCUAAUAUGCCCUUAAACUCCUCAAUUAAUUCAUAAUUUGUUAUUAUAUUUCCCCUUUUCAAAAUUAUGUCACUUUUCCCCCUCAGUGUCUUUCUGAAAUUUUGAAGCUUUUCUUUUCUUUCUUUCUUUUCCUUUUUUUUUCUUUUUUAAUGCUUGGUAGGCAUAGUUGUUUUAUAGUUGGUAUCUAAUAACCCCAAUAUAUGACAAACAGUCUUUGUUGGUCUGUUUCUACUAUCUUCUUGUUUUAACUGGUUCUUGCUCAUGGUAUCUUGUUUCCUAUGCAUUUUGUUUUCUUUGUGUGCUAUUCAAUGUAUUUUAGGAAUACUUUGAGACAUAAGAUAAUAGUGCCUCUUACAAGAGAGUAUUUUAAUUUGUUUCUGCCACGAUUCUAGAGAUGCUACUAAUGCAGGACUAUCUUAAUCCAAGUUCGAGGCUUCAGGUUCCCUAAAAGAGCCAAAUGAUGAGAAGCCAGGCUGCAAGUCUUUUGAAGGACUGGUUUAAUUCUGGUUUACCCUUACUCUUAAGUGAUAACCUUGCUAGGUUCUACCUUACAGUGGCAGGUGGUUUAUCUGAGUUUUAAGCUUAGGUGGACCCUGAGCUUUAAGUCUUGUUUCCUCUGCCCUGAAAGACCCCCACCUGCCCUAAGCAAAUGCAGUUUCACAGUUAUUUCUUCGAGAUAAGCAAAUCUCAUUAGGGCCAAACAGAUUUUAAUAUAGGGGCUUCAUUUUUUCUAGAUUUCGACUGGGCAGUUUCUUAUUUGCUUAACUAUUUGGUGCUUUUGGAAGGUGUGGGUUUUCAAAAAAUAUAUUUCCCAAUUUCAUUUUACUUUUUCUCAGCAGAGGGGUUACUCUGAGAUAACUAGUCUACCACUAUAGGAAAUAAUAUAUAUCUAUUUUUAUAUUUCAGUCUUUAGCACAGUUUUGGUCACUCAAUAUUUGUUAAAGAAUGAUGAUAUGUGUGGCCAUGGGCAUUGGAAUCAAGUUGUAGAAGCUAUGGUUUCUUUCUUCAAGGAACUUAUCAUUUAAUAAGUGAAGAAAAAAAUCACAAAUAAAACUUAAAUAAUGACUACACUUUCUUUGUAGAAGUAUAAAUUAAUAUACCUUUUUGGAGAAAAAUUUGGCAAUGCUUAUCAAAAUUAAAUAUACUCUUUGGCUAAAUUCCACAUCUAAGAAUUUAUCUGAUGUAUACUCCACACAUACUUGGACAGGUGCUUAAAGAUAUGUAUAUGAGUACUUUUUAUUGAUAAUAGCAUGUUUGUAAUACAAAAGACAAAAAGGUCUAAAUAUCUAUUGAGAUGGGACUGAUGAAAUAAAUUGUAAUAUAUUAUAAUGUAAUGAAAUAAUGUGCAGCCAUUAAAAAGAAUGAGAGAAGAUUCACAUGUAUUGAUAAGGAAUAAUUUGCAUGAUAUAUUCAAGUGAAAACAAAGAAAUAAACAAGAAGCUUGAUAGGACAGUUGACCCUUGAACAAUUGGUCGUUAGGGGCACCUACCCCCUCAACACAGUUGCAAAUUUGCAUACGACUUUUGACUCCUCCAGAACUUAAAAAUCAAUAGCCUACUGUGGAUUGGAAGCCUUACUGAUAACAUACACGGUCAAUUAACACAUACAUAUUUUGUGUGUUAUAUGUGUUAUAUACAAUAUUCUUAAAGUAAGUUAACAUGUUAUUAAGAAACCAUAAGGAAGAAAAAAUACAUUUACUAUUCAUUAAGUGGAAGUGGAUCAUCAUAAAGGUUUUCAUCCUCAUCAUCUUUACAUUGAAUAGGCUGAGGAGGAGGAGGAAGAGGAGGGGUUGGUCUUGUUGUCUUGUGGGUGGCAGAGGUGGAAAAGAAUCCAUGUAUAGGUGGACCCACACAGUUCAAACCCACGUUGUUCAAGGGUCAACUGUAUAUAUAAUAUGCUGCACACAUGCAUGCACACAUAUAUACAGUUGCUUAGAAGUUCAUAGAGCAUCUCUGAAAGACUAUAAGAGGAACUGCUGACAGUAGUUAUAGGCUGGGCACAGUGGCUCAUAGGUGUAAUCCCAGCACUUCGGGAGGCCGAAGUGGGUAGAUCACUUGAGCCCAGGAGUUCAAGACCAGCCUGGGCAACAUGGUGAAAUCCUGUCUCUACAAAAAUAUACAAAAAAUUAGCUGGGCAUAGUGGUGCACACCUGUACUCCCAACUAUUCAGGAGGCUGACCUGGGAGGAUCGCUUGAGUCCAGGAAGUUGAGGCUGCAGUGAGCCACGAUUACACCACUGCACUCCAGCCUAGGCAACAGAGUGAAACUCGUCUCAAAAACCAAAACCAAAACAAAACAAAAAGCACAGUGGUCAUAUCUGAGGAGCACGGUGGUCAUAUCUGAGGAGAGGAACUAGGACUUGGAGUACAAGAAUAGGAAGUAAACUCUUCUCUGGGAGCUUUUGUGUUCUAUAUUAUAGUUUAUAUUUAUUUUUCCCAUGUGCAUUUUAAAACCAUUACAUUAAAAUACAAAAACUGCAAGGACAGUAGUGUAUUAGAAGGCAUACUAUACUGACGGUCAGUUGACCUGAGCUGUAGUUUGUUUUUGUUACGAAGUCCCAUGAUCUUUCCAGAACUCAGUGUCCUCUUCUGUGAAAUGUGGACACUGACCUAGCUGGUCUCAAAGGCCUCUUUCAAUUUUAACAUUCCCCCAUUCCAUUGACUAACACAGAGAUACUUUUAUUGCAGAAGUGCUUCGGUCAGGCAGUAUCUUUGAAAAUAAUUUGGCCAAUGAAAGCCCUGGCAUUGGAUGAAAGUGCUAGCUGCUGGGAAUGCUACCCCUCCUUUUGGUUCUCUUUCAAGUCCUUCAAGUAUUACACUGUGCUUUCCCUGAGACAAUAAACUGAAACAACUGAUUUCUUUAGCUUCACAAUUUGAAACUGUGGCUUUUAAUAUAACCUCACAUUUGAAAUAUUUUAGGCCUGUUUUUCUUUAGGAUCGGGUAGGUUUAAAUCUCUGACAGAUUGAUCAAAUCUCAUUACCCCCUAUUAUACUAUACAAUGAAAGCUUAUUUCCUAAGUGUUCCCACAUUUUAUGCUCACAUUCACAUAGAUCUAAGUGGCCGAAACAUUUAACUAAAUGGACUAUUCAUACAAUCGUAUUUCCGGGCUGGUCAUCUAUGUCAAUGAUAACAGUAGCAUUCAUCGCAUGGCUAUGAAUCUCUAUCUUUAAAAAAAAAAAGGAGAGAAAGAAUAAUUAUUUAAAUCUAAACUAUGCUCAGACUAGUGAUUUAAAAGCUUUUUUAAUUAAAAAGUAAUUUAAGUUCAUUUUCAAAGGUUCAAACAAUACAGAAGUGUAUAAAGUAAGAAUUGAAAGUCUCUUCGCUGCUCUAAUCUCACUCCUCAGAGGUGAUCACUGGUAAGUAUGGUAUAUAUCUUUUCAGGUACACAUACACACACACACAAACUUCACUUUUAUAAUAAUGAGAUUCUACUGAACAUGCUGUUUUACAAUUUGUUUUUGUACUCAGCAAUAUGUUGUUCUUGGGGUACACAGAGCUCUACCUCACUUUUUUUUUUUUUUUUUGAGACGGAGUCUCACUUUGUCACCCAGGCUGGAGUGCAGUGGCACGAUCUUGGCUCACUGCAAGCUCUGCCUCCCAGGUUCACGCCAUUCUCCUGCCUCACCUCAGCCUCACAAGUAGCUGGGACUACAGACGCCCUCCACCACACCCGGCUAAUUUUUUCUAUUUUUUAGUAGAGACGGGGUUUCACCGUGUUAGCCAGGACGGUCUCGAUCUCCUGACCUCGUGAUCCGCCCGCCUCAGCCUCACAAAGCGUUGGGAUUACAGGCGUGAGCCACCGCGCCCAGCCUACCUCACUCUUUAAAGGGCUAUAAACUAUUCAAUCAUGCUGAUGUACUAUCAUUUAUUUACAUGUUUUCUCAGUGUUGGACAUCUAGAGUUAGUUUCCAUUUAUAUGUUGUGAGAAACCAUGUUGUAUUGAACUUAGACAUUUGGCUAGAAGUUUUAUAGAAUGUUUUCCUUGAAUUAGGGUUCUAGGCACUUCCUAUAUGCCAGGCACCAGUGUAAACACUUUACAAAUAUCAACUUUUAAAAUUCCCAUGACAACCCCAUGAGUUAUAGAUACUAUUAUUAUCUCAGUUUUGCAGACGAUAAACUUAGGCUCAGAGAGGUUAAGCAACUUGUUUGAGAUCUCAUGGUUCUAAUUGGUAGAGCCAGGAUUGGAAUCCAGGAUCUCUGAAUCCAGAGUCUGUCCUUAACUCAUAUGCAUUCUGCUGCCUCAUAGGAUAGGUAUAUUUGGAAUCUUGACAGAUACUGCCAAGUUGUCCCUGAAAAAGGUUCUAUCAAUUUAUAUUUCCACAAACUGUAUUUGAGUGUUCACCCAUUUUCCUAUUUCAUUACCAAACCGUAUGUUCUCACUUUUAAAUUUUUUUGCCAAUUUGUGGUUGGAAAAAUAGUAUCAAAUUAUUGUUUUAACUUACAAUUAAUGCACUAUUAACAUUUAUAAUACUUAACUUUUAUUAGACCUGUACUACAAUAAAAUACGUAAAAGAAUUCUUCAUCAUUUCCGGAUUAUCAUCCCAGAGCCCUCCCUGAAGCCCACACACAGCUUCUUCAGGAAAUGCUGACAGCAUGGUAUACACAUGGCUUCCAUGUUUGUCGUGGAUCCAAAGUUUGCUUUUGAGUUUAAUUUCUUUCUUUCUUUCUUUCCUUUAUUGGCUAAACUCCCCCCACAGGACCUGAGUGAGCAGAAGGCUUUUCAGAAUUACAGCCUGAACUAUUUCUUGAGCAAUUUGGGAACUCAUUUCUAAAGCAGUCCUCAGAUUCACACAACGUAGUUUGUGACGGAGUAUGCCCAGAGCAGGCAGGAAAGGCAAAACAGCAUUUUGACACUGACGGAUUUAGCAGAAAGAUCUGACCCAACAAGUAAAAACUCUUUUAAAGGUUCAGUCAAAUUUAUUCUCAUCACAUUCCUCUGGAAUGCCCAACAGGCACAUGUUUUGUCAAUGAAAAUUGUUUUCAAUCUCAUUGAUGUUUUGUUUGGCAAGAGCCAUUUCUUUCAACAAUUUCUUAUUAAUCAUCUACAAUUUUUCACUUCUGACAGUGUUAUCACCAGUGCUUUCAGUAACUGCAUACUUAUAAAACAGCCAAACUUCAACCUGUGUUCAGUUUUUAUCUGUUUCUUGGGAAUGUAAUUUGGACAAAAAAGUUACCAAUGUAUUUACAACCAAAUUUCAGAUCUUCGACAUUGCGGAGGGUAAGAAAUGUGAACACAAUGGAAUUCUUCUAUCAUCCUUAUUUUGUGAGAUCUAAUUACUGUAUACUCACCUUCCCAGUAAUGUCAUGUUAGCUUCGUCCCUGUCUUUGUGGCUUAUAGAUUUCUGUCUCCAGGGGCAUGGUUUGCAUUGUGGUGAUCCAGAUAUGGAUAAGGCAACAUCCAGUGUCUUAAUAGGGUCCUGCCUUCCAAACAAAUAAUUCAGUGUGGCUCUAAGAUUGUGUCUUUCUGCGUAUGCCAACUUAAGCUGUUUUAGCCAAACUACCUUCUACAUAGGCCUAGUGAAAAUACCUUCAGGGCUAGAUGAAGGUGUUUGGCAUGCUUUUUUUUCCAUGGUGGGGGCAACAUUGGGCAGUGCUGCCUCCCUGGCUGUGAGCAGCCUGUGGGUCCCCAGGGACCAUUUCACUGGACUUCAGCUUAAACAUUGUUUAUACAUGGCCAUCGAUUUCCUUUACCAAGAGCUGCCAAUCCAAUGGCAUUAGCCACACCUGCCAUGAACUUCCACCCCUCCUCAACCAGGUGGUAAGCACAGGAGACGAACUGGUGUUAGGAGAAAAAGCCAUACCGAUGGUCCAGUGCAGUGGGAUAGCCAGGAAACUUGUUAGAAAUUCAAUUCCCUGGCCCCACCCUACAUCUCUGGGUGAUUUGGAUAUAGGCCAUAACAUUUGAGAACUGCUGCUCUGGCUUAAUACAUCAGAAUCUUCCACUUUAUUAUUUUAUUUCCAUAUUUGUAUAUCCCUCUCUUCCCCUUUGACAUUUUCUGUCAUGGUUUUGCUUUCUAAAUGUCUUUAAGCUGUCUUGUUGAUGGGGGUGCACCCUGACGAAUGGUGUGCUGGCAAAGAUUUAACAACAGGCUCCAGAGGAGGGCAGACUUGAAGUGGAGCCUUCAGUGGGCAGUGUGAAGGGUGCUGAUUUCAAGCAACUCAUCUGGAUGACUGAACAUGAAGUUGGGAAGAGAUGUGCAUAAUUGAAGUGGGUGAGAGCCAGUCCAGCACCCUGCAGAGAGGUACUAAUAAUUCUGUAGGUACUUCCUCAAAUUUAACUCAAUGGGGGUUUAGAUUGGGUUUAGAUUGAGUCAUUAGUUGCAGGUCAUUUGUUGAAUCAUUGAAUACUUUUUGUUGUUAAGGUGACUGAAAUACUCAGUUGAUGUCCUUUAAGAUCACUGAAAAUAUUUAAAAUCAGCUUACAUAUGGUAUUUUGGAAAUGCCACAUACAUAAUAGAUUAAAACCCACAACUAUAUUUGCUGCCUUUCCUACGCAUGUCCUGUCAAAAUUAUUUUUUGGUGGACUGUAAGCCCUAAAACAACAUGGACCUUGUUUUCCUCUCCAUUAUAUUCUCAUUACUUAUACUCAGCAUUGUUUAAAAAAAGUUUGUUGAUGUAAUAAAUGUGCAGUUGAUAUAAUAAUGUAAUAAAUGUAUACUGCCAUAACAAACUACGACAGACUAGGUGGCUUAAACAACAUUUAUUUCCUCACAACUUUGGAGGCUAGAAGUCCAAGAUCAAGGUGUCUGCAGGUUUGGUUUCCUCUGGGGCAUUUCACCUUGGCUUGUGGAUGGCCAUCUUCCACCUGGGUCUUCACAGUCUUCCCUUUGUACAUGUUCGUGUCCAAAUUUCCUCUUCUUAUAAGGACAUCAGUUGUAUUAGUCUGUUCUCACACUGCUAAUAACGACAUACCUGAGACUGGGUAAUUUAUAAAGGAAAGAGAUUCAAUGGACUCACAGUUCCACAUGGCUGGGGAGGCCUCAAAUCAUGUCAGAGCGCAAGGAGGAGCAAAGUCAUGUCUUACAUGAAUGGCAGCAGGCAAGAGAAGAAAAUGAGAGCCAAGCAAAAGGGGUUUCCCCUUAUAAAACUAUCAAAUCCUGUGAGACUUAUUCACUACCACAAGAACAGUAUGAGGGCCGGGCAUGGUGGUUCACGCCUAUAAUCCCAACAUUUUGGGAGGCAGAGACGUGUGGAUCACUUGAGGUCAGGAGUUCAAGACCAGCCUGGCCAACAUAGUGGAACUCCAUCUCUACAAAAACACAAAAAUUACCUGGGUGUGGUGGCACAUGCAUGUAAUCCCUGCUACUUGGAAGGCUGAGGCAGGAGAAUUGCUUGAACCCGGGAGGUGGAGGUUGCAGCCAGCUAAGAUUGCACCACUGCAGUCCAGCCUGGGUGGCAGAGUGAGACUCCAUCUCAAAAAAACAAAACAAAACAAAAAAGAACGGUAUGAGGUAAACCACCUCCAUAAUUCAAUUAUCUCUCACCAGGUCCCUCCCACAACAUGUGGGAAUUAUGGGAGCUACAAUUCAAGAUGAGAUUUGGGUGGAUAUACAGCCAAACCAUAUCACCAGUCAUAUUGGAUUAGGGCCCACCUGAAUAACCUCCUCUUAAUUUAUUACUUCUUUAAAGACUUUAUCUCCUCAUACAGUUAUAUUCUCAGGCACUGGGGGUUAGGACUUCAACAUAUGAAUCUAGGGGAGAGGGGAGAUAUAAUUCAGCCCAUUACAAUAAUGAUCAAAACUUCUAUAUUUUAAGGUUCUAAUUGCAUAAGGAAAAAACAAAACAUCAAUUGUGAAUUACAAGUAUAUUACACAUGUACAUUUAUGUUUACCUUGAUAUUAUAACUUGUAUUGAUACAACCUUAUCUAAGAAGUGACAAACUAAUAUUUUAUAAAUUGCAAAAGUAUCUCUCCCACCUCUCCCCUCAUCUCAUACUGCCUUACUUUUGUUGCAUGAGGUUUUUUUCCUGCCAAAUGAGUUAGAAGGGUGGAAGAGAUGGAAAUGUAGUUUGCAUAUACAGAAAAAUUAGGUAUUGAAACGUAUGAACACAUACUAUAUAUAUAACAUAUACGUAUCUUGUGCUGUAAGAAUAAAGUGUGGGCAAUUUAUCCUAGCACACACUUUCACUGUAAGGAAAAUAUCACUGGUGAGGUUCAACUGCAAAAGUCUGAUCUCACAUUUCUGAGAUUAUUUUUUGAUCUGAUGACUAUGAGAACAACACAAAAGUUCGAAGUGUGGAAAGUUUAUAGAGCCUUUGGGGUGUCAUUUUCUUGGGAAGGAGUAGGCUCCAAAGAAGCUAGAACUUUCUGGGUUGAGACAUAACUCCUCUGUAGUCUUCACUCUGACCAACUAUGAAGAGGGCAUCACGACACCUGACUUCUGGCCAGCUUCUUGUUUUUUCCUUAUUAACACUCUGUCAUCUUAAAUCCUGUGGUGACGUAAGUGAAUCAUUGCACAACACUUUGAUUUUGAUUUUACACUACAGGUUUUUUGUUUGUUUGUUUGUUUUUAGGGUAGGUGUGAUUUUUUUGUUUCUUGUUGGGAUUACUAUCAGAUUUUUAAAAAUUAUUUAUUUUAUAGCUUUUUAAGUUGGGGUUCUCUUUUGAUCAGUCAGCUUUCCUUUAGAGAUCCCCAGAAUAAUUUCAACAUGCCUUGAGGGCAUAUGUUCUUAUAAUAUAAUAGCAUGACUAAGUGGUUAUUGGCCACCAACCUAGCCCAGUGAGGCAUGCUGUUAUUACACAAUUACACACAUCCUGGUGUGUGUCUUAUUAUGUAAUUGUAAUUCAAAGAUGCUGCUGAAAGCAAUUACAUAAGUCCUGUUCAUUUCACAGAGAAUCGAAAGGGCAGAAGUAAAGCAGAGUCAAGCUCCUAGGCAUUGAGGGCAGUCAUUCUUUCUUUACUUAUUUUUGAGACAGGGUCUCACUCUGUCACCCAGGCUAAAGUGCAAUGGUGCAAUCUCAGGUCACUGCAACCUCCACCCUUGGUGCUCAGGCGAUCCUCCCACCUCAGCCUCCCAAGUAGCUGGGACCACAGGCACGCACCACCAUGCCCAGCUAUUUUUUUUUUUUGUAUUGUUGGUAAAGGUGGGGUUUUACCAUGUUGCCCAGUCUGGUCUUGAACUCCUGAUUUCAAGGAAUCUGCCUGCCUCAGCCUUCCAAAGUCCUGGGAUUACAGAUGUGACCCACUGCACCUGGCUGGGCAGCCAUUCUUUAGAUGGUGUGUCACAUCUCUUGAUAGAAGAUUAGGUGACCAUUCUCAGGGCAUUGAACUGGCACAUUUUGACCUCGUUAUCCAACAUUUCUUUUUUUCCCAGACAGCAAGCAACAAUAGCAGCACUGUAAUUUGUCAUUUUAUAUUUACUUUUAAGGUUUUCAAUAAAGUAAAAUGGAGUGAUACAGUGAUGAUAUUCUCUGCCUCUCUAGUAGGACUUUGAAUUUUUAUUCUGUGUGUCCAGGGGUAUGACACAUCUUGAAUUCUAGGAGGACUUUGAAUUUUUAUUCUGUGUAUCCAGGGGUGUGACAUAUCUUGAGCAAAUAAAAUAAAGCUUACCUACUCCAAGUAUAAUAGAAACCUAGAAGACAGGGCAAGGAGAGUUGCUUCUAUUACUCAAUGUAGCUCUCGGAGUCAGAUAGCAAGGACCACUGGUUAUACACAUUGGGAUUCCCUACUGUCAGACUAUCCCUUAAGAUUCUCUUCUGAUGAAGGUUUUUGCAUAGGUGUGCAUUUCUGCAGAGGGGCUGGAAACUCCGCCAGGUAGAGUAGGAAUUUUUCAACCUGCUCUAUGGUUGUCCAGUUGAGGAUGCGUCUGUGUGGCUUCUAAAACACAUCGAGGAGCCAUAUAACAGGAGCCAAUACUCAUUUUUUUUUUUUUGAAUGAAUGACUUGAGAAAGCAAGCUGCUUCCUCUUUUCUCUUUUUCCAAUUUCUCCUCAAAUUCCAAAGGAUCUUUGAAUAUCACUGAGUUACUUGGCAGGUUAGUGUCAGGUGAAUUUACAAGAAUUUGGUUUGGAAAGAGCAGGCUGUCUUCCUAUGUGAUAAGGAGUCCCUAGAUAGCAGUGCCUUCUCUUGAGAAUGCAGCUAAGCACACUCACAAUUGUGCCUCUGUGCAGGGGAUAUCCCAAGUGGCCAAAAAGAGAAAGCAAAGCAUGGAACCAGCUAUUGAGUCUGUAAUUUUAUUGUGAAAACUUGGUACCAGUGUGAUGGUAGAUCAUAAGCUUCUUGAGGACAAGGAGUGUGUCAUUAAUUUUGUGUCUCCAAGGCCAAGCCCAGGAUUUGAUGUAUAGGAGAUCUUUAAAACAUGGUCCCUGCAAUGGUUAAUUUUAUGUGCGACUUGGCUAGGUCCUGGUACCCAGAUAUUUGGUCAAAUAUGUCUGGAUAUUGCUGCAAAGGUAUUUUUUAGAAGAGAUUAACAUUUAAAUCAUAGACUGAGUAAAGCAGCUUAGCCUCUGUGAUGGUUAAUAUUAUGUGCCAUAAUGUGAAUGGACCUCAUCCAAUCAGUUGAAGGUCAUAAGGAAAAGGCUGAUCUCCACUGAGGAAGAGGAAAUUCUGCCAGCAGACUGCCUUUGGACUCAAACUGCAACAUCAGCUCUUCCCUGAGUCUCCAGCCUGCCCAACUAACCUGCAGAUUUUGGACUUACCAGCCUCCAUGAUUGCAUGAGCCAGUUCUUUAUGAAUGAAUGAAUGAAUGAAUGUCUUCAACAUCUUUGCUUUACUCUGAUGCUCUCCCCUACCCCCACAAUUCCAAUGAAGUGAGGAAAAUUAUUUUGCCAAGCCAAAACUUUGGAUCUUUGCCCUAAAAUCCCAGAGUCUUCCCUUUAAAUAGAGAGUGAAAGCCCUGAUACUGACAAGGAUAAGACAGGGGAAAGAUAAUUUGGUGGGGGGGUGCUGAGGGAGGAGAAGAAUUCACCAACUCCCCUCAAAAUCUCUGAUUUCAUAUUUACUGUUAAUAUCCAAUGUAAAAACAGUUGGCUUGAUUUAAAUGUCUUUGUUGGUUUCCCAAGCCCCAUCACCACCACCACCACCAGCUCACCCUGCCAAGGCCUGAGAUGCUGAAGACCACUUUUCAGCCUGAUGUGAUUUCUAACAGCUGAGAUACUAAACACUGAAAAAUGGGGUUUAUAAUGGAAAUGCUGACAGACUAUUAACUAUAGCAGCACUGCUCUAAUAACUGGAAUGGCCUAUCUUAAUCUCUAGUUCAUAAAUAUGCAAAUACAAGACUGGAGAUUUGCUCCAAAACAGUCUCUAUAAUUUUAACUGACCUUUACUGAUACCAAAUGAGCCUGUUGCUUCUGUUUUUGUACGCUGGAUAUAAAGUACAGGAGAUCCAGACGCCUGUCGGCCUAAAGUAUAUAAAGUUUAAACUGCCAGCUACUAAACUCUGGGCUCAGAUUCCAUUUCUCUUCACAUUCACAGUCUUUAUUGACAUUUUCAUUUUUUUUUUCCUCAGGGGGUGUAAGCCGAAUCGGGGCGGGGCGGGGGGAACAAACCUUGUUCAUCCCCCUUCCCCUACGACAUUACUUCCACAUUCACAGCGCCUGCCCAGCCAAAAUUCAUGGAUUGCCUCAAGGACAAACAGGCCAUCUACACUGAAUUAUAAAUUUGAGUUUUAUCCAGUUUUCUGCCUUUGGACCAAAUGGGCAGCAAAUCCAGUGACUUCAUAUUUAAUAACCUAGAUGUCAUUUGUACUGUGUCUUUCAGCACAGAGUAAAGAAUUGGAUGGCUAGCAGUUUUGCAGAUUUUUCCCCCUAAUUAUUUGAAGCUGUUCAGCCUGGUAUUCGAACUAUUGAUGCAGAGCCAAAUUGCCAGCAGGGGAGAGAUCUGUCCAACCCAGGAGCUAAAUGAGUCACUGAGAGUCAAUCUGUUUUUCCCUUGCUGCUGGGGUUUCCUCUGGCCCUAGCCUCUCUGUCUCUCUGCUCCAGUCACACACAGAGCUGCGGGCUCAGCCCUCAUUGGUUCCUAUCGCCUCCCAUUCCCCUCCUCAGCCCUGCUUGCUGCAGCUGUUGAUGGGGUCUGACCGGCUGGCUGCGGAGAUUCAGGGCCUCAAUGACACCAUAGCUGAGGCCUUGCUUUGACAGAAAAUGAAGACAUCUUUGCCUUGUUGCAUUUGCUUCUCCAGUAAUACAUCAGGUAUCUGGAGAGUAAGGCCCACAAGCAGAGUGUGUUGUUGGGGUGCAAUGCCAGUUCAUCAAUUCCCGACGUCCAGUUUUCAGAGUGCUCUUCUACUUUUCCUAAGUCCAAAUGGAGUCCUUGGUGCCAGAAUCCUGCAUGUGGUCAUAAAAUAAUAAAAAUAAAGGUCUAUGGAUGUGCUGGAGGUAGUGGCAGGGCAGAAUGCCACCAACAUAAGCCAGGCUUGCUGGAGUGGUUGCUCUUCAAGCAUUGGAGAAAAAUUCACAGUGCUUCUAAUAACAUAUUUUUUUUCCAGUAGAAACAUUUUAUUUCUAACAACAUUUACUUAAAAACAAAAUUCUUGUAUUCUUCAUGUAGGGUCAGUACUCAAUUGCACAAAAAUAUGCAGCCAACUUAAGAACUAUAUAUAAGAUUAAGACACCUGGUAUUUCACGGUAAAUGAUUAAAUUAACUAACACAGUUAUAUCCUGAACUUUGCCAUUAGGAAUGACAAUUUUGUUCAAUAUGCAUUGAGGAUUGUGGGUAAUCUAAACUGGUAUGAGCUUUUUCUCUUUGAAACUCAAACAGAAUUAAGGAACAGUAUUCUCUGCCAACAGAAUAUGGAGUUUGAGAACAGCCACAAAAAAAUUCUCUUGUAGUAAGCUGAACUGCCCUAGGAGUACUCAGGAAUUAGACAACUCAGGAAUUAGAGAAUUAGAGAACUGGAGAAAUGAGGGGGCGUGGACAGUAGGGAGAGAAAAAUUGAAUAAUUGAUUUACUAUAUUUUUCAAAUAGAAGUAUCUGGGAAAAUAAGACAAAACAAGCAGAGUUGUUUCUUUUUCACAGUGAAGCCCCAGAGGAGUGAAAGCUUUGUUCUCCCUGGGUAGCAAGCUCUAUUUCCACAUUUCUGACUGCAUAUUCCAUAUUUAUGAUGAUUUUUGGUCUCUCUGUUCCUGGCUUGCUAGGUGGCAAGGGCAGUUAGAGAAAAAAGGCAGAUUUAUGAAACACGGAAAAAUUUCUGACUGAAAUCAGGCUUGGAUUUGUGAAUCACUCUUUUUUCCCCCUGCGGUCACUCCUGUGAUGAGGUCAACUGCUUCAAUCCUUUAGGUUUUGUAGAUGGGUUUCCGGAUUCCAGGAGUCCCAGAAGGUCCAGGGAGCACUCCCCACAUUUUAGCCAGAAGUAAUUAACUAAAACAUAAAGGCCCCACUUUCUCUUUUCACACUUCGAGCCACAGAUCAUCUAAUUCCUAGCUUGAGACAUCAGAUUUCAGAUCAUUAGUGCAAAGCAUCUUCCACAGGAGGCAAUAAAAUGUCACUUUAUGUAACUCAGCUACAGUUACACUGCCUUCAGAAAGCAGGAAUCUCCCUGAAAACAAAUUUACAUGAAAACAGUCCCAUUGUUUGAGAAUUUAUGCAAAUGUUGCACAAAGGGGUUUGAUAGUGAUUUUAAAAACUUAAAUCUUUAUCACUGCCUCAAAGAUAUCCUGAGAAACUUGGUUACCUCUAAAGAAUUCCAUUGCACUUAUUUUUUAAAAUGCCUAUAAUAUAGAGUUGUUUUAAAACUUUUCCCUAAACUCUAAACUUCUUUCUCAGCUUCAAAGCCUUCUAUAAUGAAUAUCCUAAAGAGAGCCUAGUGCAUAUUGGUUUAACACUUACUAGGAUCACUCAUUACUAGUUAAGAAAAUUGAAGGUAACAACCAUAGUGCCAAGUAUUUUGAACAACAUAAAAUGUUUCUCCCAUGGGUGUAGCUCUUAGGGACCGCAUGGGGAUACAUACCCCUCAGUGCUCAAUCAGCAAAAGAUGAAGCUGUAAGUGUCUCAGUCCAUGUUGAUUGCCUCUGAACUCCCCGGUGUUAGGAAUCUGGAUGUGUCCAUUACUGCAUGUUCAAACAAUGAACUGCCUGCACCAGAAAUCUGAUUUCUGUAGAAAGACAUUAAGGGGCUGGGUGAGGAAUAGGGUGUCAACCAAACGUUGUGAUAUUUUCCUUUGAUUUUCACUUUCUUUAAAUUCUUUUCCAUUUACUACCUAGCGACUGUCUGGCAUUGGUACCCUCAGUUUCUUUUCUUCUGCUUUUCCUCCUAAUUCAGUGUGGAAGAUGAUCAAAGUAUGACAUUUCUUCUACCCCAGAGGUUGGCAUUUCUGCAGGCACAAAUGAGCUUGGUUUUCAAGCACCGCUCUUUGAACACAAGGAAUUCCUUUAAUGAUCACGCCGGACUGUAUAGACUUUGGAAUCAGACUCUUUGAAUUCCAGCUCUGCCAUUUACCAACUUUGACACUUUGGAAAAAGCAGACAUGUCUAGAUCUUUCUCUAAAAAUGGUCUACUCUGAGAAAUUGUGAGCAAAGUACCAAGAUUUGAAGCCAUCAGGGGACUGAAGUGAGAGCAACUUAUGAAAAGAUCAAGCAAAAGGACUCAAAUAUUUGAAAUAAACAUACACGUCCUGCUGGUCAAGUGUGCACAUUGGAGAGUCAGCACUGUGUGGUGAUUCUUUAAGGGAUUCAUCUAGGGAAUUUGAAUUGUGACAAGACUUUAACUUCAUGAAAGAUGAGGAAGAGUGCCCAUUCAGGCUUUUAAAAGUGAGAAAUAAAGGGUGACUUUUUAGUAUGAGGUUUUCAGAACUUGAAAAUAAAGAAUUUGUACCACAAAUAUCUCUAGGAAUGAUGAUCACUUAGGUCUCUGAGAAAAAGAUCCACAAGAGUGAACCACAAUUGGAAGCAAACAGAGCUUAUCAACACAGGAAAGUCCAGAGGGAAAAUAACAUUUUGGGUAAGAGCUCUCAAGUGCGUAUCGAAGAGCUCCUAGUGUAACGUUUUUCGUCAUUGAGCUAAUCUGGCAUUAUAUAGGAUGAAAUCAUUUUCUUAAAUUGCUAACUAAGAGAUGUCAUGGAAUAAAGCCCCUAUGAGUAGAGUGGAUAUAAUCAAUAUUCUAAGUUUGAAAGAUAGUGACAUUUCUGAUUCCCCUAGCAGCCUGGAAGUGGAGGUUGCAUGGCAGGCUCUAAGGCUGACUUGUUGACCUGUGAGGCUCUUUAAGAUGUACUUUUAAGGCUGCUUUCUCCCUAAUCUUAAACACUUGACCUUUGAGUCUGAUAUUCUUCAGUAUUAUUAGAUUAGAUGAUUAGUUAUUAAAUAUACUGUCUCCAGCAAAUAGGUAAUUGUGUAAUGCAAUGGCCCUCAGCCUUUCCAGGCCAUGUUCCCAAGACAUUUAGAGUUAGAACACUGAGUCCUUUUGUAGUAGGAAUCUUUAACCCUUUCUGUGGGUCGAAGAACGUACAGGGGUUUCCCUAGGUCUCAAAAUCAGCUGACUGACGAAGGGCAGUAAAAAAUGUAGAGUGUCACAUGUUUUUGAGAGCCAUAAAAUUCAAAGAUCACAGAACUUUUAUCACAUUUACGCCCACAUAAUAAGACUGAGUAAUACAUACACCAAGAUUUUCCCUGUGACAAGCUGGGUGUGAUGAACAAAUCUAAGUCCUUCCCAGGCUUUAUGUUGGGUGUUUGAGAAAAGCUUAAGCACUGUUUUGCAACCAAAAGCAUGCAGGUGUUAAAGUUUUAAAUGUCUCUAUUGCUUCUUGCCAAAUUUUGCCUGGCCUGAAGGGGUGGGGAUGGAGAGGGGACGAAGAAUAGAGGGAGGGACAGGAUCUAGCAUAUUUUGAUUCCUUAAUAUACGCAAAGCACAGUGCUAGGCAUUUUACAUAUACAGAUUCAUUUAAUCAUCCCCUAAAUAGAAAUAAAGUUUGUGUUAUUAGUCCUCAUUUUUCAUUUAAGGAGCCUGAGGCUCAGAAAAGAUAAAGUUGCCUAAGUCCAAACACCCAGUAAUUGAAUUAGAAUUUGAACUUGAGUUUGAAGUUCUUAUUCUUUCCAAUGUCUCACAAUGUCUUUAUUUUAUUAGGUGCCUACUACGUAUAGAUAAGGUGUUACUCAUGUUGGCAGAAAAGACAGCGUCUCAUUCUGUCACCCAGGCUGGAGUGCAGUGGCACAAUUAUAGCUCACUGCAGCCUCAAACACCUGGGCUCAAGCAGUCCUUCCACCUCUGCCUCCUGAGUAAUUGGGACUACAGGCAUGUGCCACCACACCCAGCUAAUUUUUAAUUUUUAAUUUUUUUGUAGAGAUGGGGGUCUUGCUAUGUCACCCAGGCUGGUCUUGAACACCUGGCCUCAAGUGAUCCUCCGGCCUUGGUCUCUCAAAGCUCUGGGAUUACAGACAUGAGCCACUGCACCCGGCUCUGUCUCCCCUUCCUAUGUGUGUUAGCUCUAGAACAAGAGAAGCCUUGUUGAGAUUCAUGGCUGCCCACCCCCCAUCACCUCUCUGACUUUGGGCAAGUUGCCUGGCCUCUCUCAGCCUUUGUUUUCUUUUUGUGAAAUGGGGAUAAUAAUAGUACUUGCCUCAUAGGCAAAAUGUUGUGAGAACUAAACGAGAAAGUGCAUGUAAAGCACUUGGCACUUAGUUCUUUUUAUGAUUAUAAUGAUAAUCAGACACAAUAAAUUAUUUCUCACAUCACAUGCUGUUUAGCCUAUUCACUGUUCUAUUUUUCCUGAAGUCAGUUCAGUGUGUAGCAUCCAGAAUUGAACAAAACACCCCUGAUGUGACCUGAUAGUGCAAAGUAAACUAUCAUCUCCUUCAUUCUAGGUAUUAUGUUUCUAUUAAUGCAGUCUAAAGGUAGGAUAUGAGUUGUUUUGUUUAUGAAUCUUUUUUUUUUUUUCAGGGAUGGGGAAUGACUAUCUCCAAUUAAACUUCUCAGUAAAAUCUCUCCUCUUGUGUGUUGUGCUUUAGUAUUUAGUUUUGGAUACUAGUGCAGGAUCUUAAAUUUAUCCCAUUACAUGUGAUUUCUUUAGUGUUAGUUCCUUUUCAAACCUGUAUAAGCCAUUCAUUCAUUCAUUCAUUCAUUUUAGAAAGUCAAACAUAUAUUUAUCAUGAGCCAGCACAGUGCCAGUUAUUUGCCAUAUUCUAAGAUUUUAAACAUUCAUUGGCAUUUUAAUUGUGCAUGAUUUCUAUACCUUCAUCUGAAUUGUUGUGUAACAUAUUUGGAUAAUACAGAGCUAAGGGCACAGGCAAAGAAAUAUCUUUAGAAACUUUCCUCUAGGCUCACCAGCACCCUUAGGGCACUGUCAUUUAAAUAUUAUGAAUUAAUCUUGUGUGGUAUCAUUUGGUACAAAUUAUUUUCCAGCUUGACCAGCAAGAAAUCUUGAGACUUUCUCAGAAUUCUUGUUCAAGUCAAGAUUCCCUAUAUCUUUCUAGUCACCUAACUCAAUAUUCCUAUCAAAAUAAGAUGAAUCUGAUGAGAUUUUUUUUAAAAAGUGAAGUUAGGCUGGCUUGUUUCCUAAUGGGCUGAGAGGACAUAUUCCCAUUCCAGAAUUUUGAAGAAUUUAAGUGCACACAACACAGUGCCUAAAGCAUGUCAGCUGUCUGUUUCGGAUGCUCGUCCUACCAUGUGUAGCAUGGCGAAGACAGGAGUCAGAGGUUGGGAAGUUUAGCUAGGUGAAAAAGUCUGCCCUAGGGCAUUCCCUUCCCACUACUGGAGAGCAGUUGCUUUACAUUUUAUUUUACCUAGCUUUUUGUAAAUAUUUCUCCCUUCCUGGGUUACUUGUGAUCAAGGGGCAUGGACUUACUCAUCUCUUAUAAUUCCAAUCAGUGCAUGACACAUCAUAGCUGAUCCUCAAUUAUGUUUUAAGUUAAUGUACUCAAGGUUUAUUUGUCAAUUGAAUGCCUAACCUAUUGCAAUUAAGGAGUUGAAUUCCCAACCCCCAGUGCCUCAGAAUGUGACUGUAUUUGGGAACAGGGUCUGCAUUAGUUUGUUUUCACACUGCUAUAAAGACAUACCUGAGGCUGGAUAAUUUAUGAAGAAAAGAGGUUUAAUUGAUUCACAGUUCUGCAGGCUGUACAGGAAACAUGGCUGGGGAGGCUUUAGAAAACUUACAAUCAUGGUGGAAGGUGAAGAAGCAGACACAUCUUCACAUGGCUGGCAGGAAAGAGAGAGAGCAAAGGGGGAGGCGCUACACCCUUUCUAACAACCAGACCUUGCAAGAACUCUAUCAUGAGAACAGCAAGGGGAAAGUCAACCCCCAUGAUUCAGUCACCUCCCACCAGGCCCCUCCCCCAACUCUAGGAAUUACAGUUAGACAUGAGAUUUGGGUGGGAACACACAGCCAAACCAUUUUAUUCUGCCCCGGCCCCUCCCAAAUCUCAUGUCCUUCUUACAUUUCAAAACACAGUUAUGCCUUCUCAACAGUUCCCCAAAGUCUUAAUUCAUUCCAGCAUUAACUCAAAAGUCCAUGUCCAAAUUUUCUUCUGAGACAAGGUUAAGUCCCUUCCAAAUAUGAGCCUGUAAAAUCAAAAACAAGUUAGUUACUUCCCAGAUACAAUGGGGGGUACAGGCAUUGGGUAAAUGCUCCCAUUCCAAAAUAUAGAGGAUACAGGCCCUAUGCAAGUCGGAAACCCAGCAAGGCAGUCAUUAAGUCUUAAAGCUCCAAAAUAAUGGAGCUUAAAGUUGUUGGUGGAUUUGCCAUUCUGAGUCUGGAGGAUGGUGGCCCUCUCCUCAAAGCUCCAUUAGGCAAUUCCCUAGUGGGAACUUUGUGUGGAGGUUCCAAGACCAUAUUUCCCCUCCAUACUGCACCAGUAGAGGUUCUCCCUGAAGGCUCUGCCCCUAGAGCAGUCUUCUGCCUGGACAUUCAGGCAUUUCCAUACAUCUUCUGAAAUCUAGGUGGAGGCUCCCAAGCCUCAACUUUUGCCUUCUGUGUACCCACAGGCUUAACACUACAUGGAAGCCAUGAGGCUUGCAACUUUCACCCUCUGGAGCAGCAGCCUAAGACAUAUCUGGGGCCCUUUGAACCAUGGCUAGAGCUGGAGCAGCCAGGAUGCAGGGAACCAUGUCCUGAGGCUGCGUAGAGUAGCAGGGCCCUGGGCCUGACCCAUGAAACCAUAUAACCCUCCUAUGCUUCCAGACCUGUGAUGGGAGGGGCGGCUGCAAAGGUCUCAGAAAUGCCUCCGAGGCAUCUCUGAAAUGCCUCGGAGGCAUUUCCCCAUGGUCUUGGCUGUUAGCAUUUGGCUCCUCUUUACUUAUGCAAAUUUCUGCAGCUGGCUUAAAUUUCUCCCCAGAAAAUGGGUUUUUCUUUUCUACCACAUAGCCGGGGUAUAAAUUUUCCAAAAUUUUAUGCUCUGCUUCCCUUUUAAACGUAAUUUCCAGUAUCAAAUUAUCUCCUUGUGCAUGCAUAUUAGUUUACGCUGUUAGAUGCAGCCAGGCCACAUCAUGAAUGCUUUGCUGCUUAGCAAUUUCUUUUGCCAGAUACCCUAAAUAAUCUCUUGCAAGUUCAAAGUUCCACAGAUCUCUAGCACAGGGCCACAAUGCCACUAGUCUCUUUACUAAAGCAUAGCAAGAGUGACCUUUGCUUCAGUUCCCAGUAAGUUCCUCAUCUCCAUCUGAGACCAGCUUGGCUAUCUCUGUCCAUAUUACUGUCAGCAUUUUUGUCAAAAUCAUUCAACAAGUCUCUAGGAAGUUCCAAACCUUCCCUCAUCUUCCUAUCUUCUUUUGAACCCUCCAAACUGCUCGAACCUUUGUACAUUACUCAGUUCCAAAGCUGCUUCCACAUUUUCAGGUUUCAUUAUAGCAAUGCCUCACUAUUUGGUACAAAUUUUCUGUAUUAGUCCCUUCUCACACUGCUAUAAAGACAUACCUGAGACUGGGUAAUUUAUGAAGAAAAGGUGUUUAAUUGACUCACCAUUCUGCAGGUUGUACCAGAAGCAGGGCUGAGGAGGCCUUAGGAAACUUAAAAUCAUGGCGGAAGGCAAAGGGGAAACAGGUACAUUUUCUCAUGGCCAGCAGAACACAGCGAGAGCAAAGUGGGAGGUGCUACACACUUUCAAACAACCAGAUCUGGUGAGAACUCUAUCACAAGAACAGGAAGGUGGAAGUCCGCCCCCAUGAUUCAAUCACCUCCUACCAGGCCCCUCCUUCAACACUGGGAAUUGCAAUUCAACAUGAGAUUUGGAUGGGGAAACAGAGCCAAACCAUAUUAGGGUCUUUAAGAGGUAAUAAGUUAAAAUGGAGUUAUUAGGGUGGCCCAUAAUUCUACAGAACUGAUGUCCUUGUAAGAAGGGGAAGAGACACCAGAAGUGCCAGCACAGAGGAAAGGUCCUGUAGGAACACGGGCUAAAGACAGCCAUCUACAAGCCAGGGAGAGAGGCCCCAGAAGAAACCAAAGCCACAAAUACCUUCUCUUGGACUUUCAGCCUCCAAAGCUGUGAGAAAAUACAUUUCUGUUGUUUAAGCCACCCAAGUCAGUCUGUGGUACUUUGUUAUGGCUGCCCUAGCAGAUGAAUUCAGAAGUCAAAUGUAUAUGGCUUUGAAGCCACAGAGGAAGGUGAGAUUAUCUGACCAGAGAUCCAAGGUGAAAGGGGUGGAGAGCUAUGGGGUAAAUCACUUUACAGAGUGGGUAUAGGAAAAGGGCCUGUGAAUAACACAGAGAAGAAUCAAGAUAAAGCAGAGUUAAAGAUGACAAGGGAAGACAGAGUUCUUUGCUUCUUUUAUUUUGGGUUCACAUCUCUUAAUUUUGUGUUCACUUUUGUUAAGGUCAUCCUCAGCAUUUAUACUCUCUCUCCUUUUGUGCCCCCAUGGACCAAGUUAAGAAGGUGUAGGCUUCAAAUCUGAAGAUUGGUCACCACAAAAUUCAAAGAGACAAGGUCUUUGUCUGUUGCUCAGGAUGGAGUGUAGCGGUGCCAUCGCACACUAUAAUCUUAAAUUUCUGGACUACUGGCAUACACCACCAUGCUUAGCUAAUUGUUUCUUAUUUUUUGUAGUGACAGGGUCUUACUAUGUUGCCCAGGCUGGUCUCAAACUCCUGACCUCAGGUGAUCCUCCCACCUUAGCCUCCCAAAAUGCUAGGAUUAUAGGCAUGAGCCACCAUGCCCAGCCUACUUUUUUUUUUUUUUUUUUUUUUUUUUGAGAUAGAGUCUUGCUCUGCAGCCCAGGCUGGAGCGCAGUGGCUUCAUCUCGGUUUACUGCAGCCUCCCGGGUUCAAGCGAUUCUCCUGCCUCAACCCCCAGUUAACUGGGUCUACAGGCACCUACCACCACACUCAGCUAAUUAUUGUGGGGUUUCUUUUGUUUUUUGUUGUUGUUGUUUGUUUGUUUUUUGUUUUGAGACAGAGUCUCACUCUGUCGCCCAGGCUGGAGUGCAAUGGCACAAUCUCAGCUCACUGCUACCUCUGUUUCCUGGGCUCAAGCAAUUCUCCUGCCUCAGCCUCCUGAGUAGCUGGGACCACAGGCGCCAGCCACCACAUCUGGCUAACUUUUGUAUUUCGAGUAGAGAUGGGGUUUCACCAUGUUGGCCAGGCUGGUCUCGAACUCCUGACCUUGUAAUAUGACCGCCUCGGCUUCCCAAAGUGCUGGAAUUACUGGCAUGAGCCACCGUGCCCGGCCCACCAGCCUACUUUUAAUGGUAAUUUUGAAAAUGACAGUUGACCUGGUAGCCUUUGGGGAUGUUUGUGUUCUUCCUCCCAGCAAAUCGCCUUCCAUGGGCAACAGGCACUGCUCCUCUCUCAUGUGUCAGAAAAUCAGUCUGAAACUAGCUAUCAAAGCAUACAAUAGUCUAUCACGUUGACCAUCACAUUAUUUGUUGUGACGUGGGAGAACUCCCCUGUUUUCUCAAAUCUCUGUCUGCUAAGAAUUAGGAACCAUUUCUAUGUAAUAAAAAAAUAUUGCUCACCAGAAAAUAUAUUCUACUUUCCUGUGGAAGAAAACUUAUGACAUUGAACUUGAUAAAAAGCCAUUUUCACAAGCUCAAAUAAAACCAGCCUUCUCCAUCUCCCCUCCCACCUCUAUUGGCUCAAGUAUGAGCAACUGAAGGAUACCACGCUGCAAAGGAGAUGUUGGGCUUUAGGCUGAAGCAAAUCCGGGAUAACCAGAGUUAAUCAAAUUCUUUAUAAAAAAAAAUGAAUUG